CCUCUCACUUUUCUCUCCCCCUCUCUCUCUCUCUCUCACCCUAGUAACUCCGGCGACGUCACCACCAUUCCUACCGGUCACCUCGCGCCGCCGCCGUCCCUACCCAGCUGAAAAAAUACUACUUCUUCCAGAUCUCUCCCCCAUUUUCUAUGCUCUCAAACUUUCUUCACUUCAUUUUCCCCAUAUCUCACGCCCUUCUCUUCUUCCAAUGCUCUCCACCUUCGUUUUCCAUCUGCUAGUUGUUUGUGCUUGAUUUAGGAGAUCAUUGUGCCGCUGCCUCUAUUGACAACUUUGACGAUUAGUAGACAGCCUCCUUAAUCUUUCUGAUACCGCAACGAAGACAUUCUUUGAGCCAUUUCGACAUUUUAGAGAUCUGUGAGGGGUAAUGCACUUGACAAUCUUGACGGUGUAGUGAUGGCAGGUGAAAAAAAGGGUAAGAAAACAAAGAAGGCUAAGGAGACGGGGGUUUCCCAGAGACCACCACAAAACCUUGUGAUUAGAGAUAGAAGCCCGUCGCCACGUCUCCCACCACGCGGUGCUCCAUUGCCUUAUGAUCCCCUCAUGAACGGCAUUGCAUAUAGUCUUCCACCUCCAUACAGCUUUGGUCGGCCCUAUAUGGCUCCACGCGAGGGCUUUACUGAGGCGCCUCCCCAGAGCCCCUCGAUGAUGUCCACACCAGGUUAUCCUACCCCACAGGGCUUCACUCGGUAUACUUCCGGAUCUCAGCAGGCUACGUCUUGUGGUACUCCGACGGCCACUCCCAGUCCGACUGCAUCACAUCAUUCUUCAUCAUCUACUGAACAGUGCAAUAUUACGGGUCCUGAUCUUCGAGAAAUUAGAUCUGCGCCACACACUCCUACUGUGAAUGACUGACGUGGAGGUGUAAGUGCUUCAUCACUGGAAUCUUAUGAUUCAUCAGGGCGACUCAUCAUCGAGCCUGCAGGAUACGGUUGGUUACCAGACAAAGCUUCAAGUCUCCUUACGAAUGAGAUAGAAAAACUGUUUAAAGACUCACCUACUUGGGGCCAGAUGUCACCAAAUCGCCAGAGACAGAUCUAUUAUGCAUUUAAGGAAAAAUGUGUCUGGCGCCCGGAACAUGAGAAGCAGCUAGCCCAAAACUUCAAGAAGAAAGCUCAGCGCUUACUAGGUGACAUGUUAGGAAGGGUUCGUGAAUCUAAUAAGAAGCCCAAGUGGAUCCUUCCUGAAAACUAUGCCAAGCUACUUCAUUACUGGACAACUAAUGAAAGAUUCUUACAACUAAGUGACAUAGGGAAGAAGGCUAGAAAUUUGACGAAAGGUGGCUCCCUACACACUAGUGGGGCUAUGAGCCAAGAGGUCGUGAG